rfam:Rhodanobacter sp. 115 contig333, whole genome shotgun sequence.
GGGGCCAUAGCUCAGCUGGGAGAGCACCUGCUUUGCAAGCAGGGGGUCGUCGGUUCGAUCCCGACUGGCUCCA